UCCCUUUUUUUCUGGAAAAAGGAAUUGGCUGGCAUAAAAGCAAGGAGCCUGUGGAUUUGGCAAGCGGAUAAACACAAAGAUUUCUCUUCGAUUUGCAGUAGAAUAUUGCAUUAUGAGAAACAUGAAUAGUAAUCUCACUUUCAUGCACCUUGGGAUGGCUUGCUGGAGACCACUCAAUUUUACUUCAAAAACCAACCAAAUAAAACCAAGGCAAACAAAAAACAAGGUGAUUUGCUCAUAACUGCUUUAGUAGGAAACAGAUCUCAGAAAAAUACUUUAAUUGCCUCCCAAAAAAAGGAAAACUCAAAUUUACAUGUGAGCCCACUUUUCACUGUAAUAGUUGACUAGCAUUGCAUGGAUCCAUUCAAAUAAGACAUAGCCACUUUUGGACAAGCUUUGGAGAAGCUUUCUGAUGCAAACUGAUAAAUCCCCCUCACCCUGAACAUGAUAUCAGACUUGAA